rnacentral:rRNA from 1 species
AUUGAACGCUGGCGGCAGGCUUAACACAUGCAAGUCGAACGCCCCGCAAGGGGAGUGGCAGACGGGUGAGUAACGCGUGGGAAUCUACCCAGUUCUACGGAACAACACAGGGAAACUUGUGCUAAUACCGUAUACGCCCUACGGGGGAAAGAUUUAUCGGAAUUGGAUGAGCCCGCGUUGGAUUAGCUAGUUGGUGGGGUAAUGGCCUACCAAGGCGACGAUCCAUAGCUGGUCUGAGAGGAUGAUCAGCCACACUGGGACUGAGACACGGCCCAGACUCCUACGGGAGGCAGCAGUGGGGAAUAUUGGACAAUGGGCGCAAGCCUGAUCCAGCCAUGCCGCGUGAGUGAUGAAGGCCUUAGGGUUGUAAAGCUCUUUCAGUGGGGACGAUAAUGACGGUACCCACAGAAGAAGCCCCGGCUAACUUCGUACCAGCAGCCGCAGUAA